rnacentral:rRNA from 1 species
AUUGAACGCUGGCGGCAUGCUUUAUACAUGCAAGUCGAACGGUAACAGGCCGCAAGGUGCUGACGAGUGGCGCACGGGUGAGUAAUGCAUCGGAACGUGCCCAGUCGUGGGGGAUAACUACUCGAAAGAGUAGCUAAUACCGCAUACGAUCUAUGGAUGAAAGCGGGGGACCGUAAGGCCUCGCGCGAUUGGAGCGGCCGAUGUCAGAUUAGGUAGUUGGUGGGGUAAAGGCUCACCAAGCCAACGAUCUGGAGCUGGUCUGAGAGGACGACCAGCCACACUGGGACUGAGACACGGCCCAGACUCCUACGGGAGGCAGCAGUGGGGAAUGUUGGACAAUGGGCGCAAGCCUGAUCCAGCAAUGCCGCGUGCAGGAAGAAGGCCUUCGGGUUGUAAACUGCUUUUGUACGGAACGAAACGGCUCUGGUUAAUACCCGGGGCUAAUGACGGUACCGUAAGAAUAAGCACCGGCUAACUACGUG